GACGAACGCUGGCGGCGUGCUUAACACAUGCAAGUCGAACGGGAUUUAGUAAACAGAAGCCUCGGUGGAAGAUUACUAAUGAGAGUGGCGAACGGGUGAGUAACGCGUGAGCAACCUGCCUAUGACAGUGGGAUAGCCUCGGGAAACCGGGAUUAAUACCGCAUAAAAUCGUAGAAACACAUGUUUUAACGGUCAAAGAUUUAUCGGUCAUAGAUGGGCUCGCGUCUGAUUAGCUAGUUGGUGAGAUAACAGCCCACCAAGGCGACGAUCAGUAGCCGGUCUGAGAGGAUGAACGGCCACAUUGGAACUGAGACACGGUCCAAACUCCUACGGGAGGCAGCAGUGGGGAAUAUUGCACAAUGGGGGAAACCCUGAUGCAGCGACGCCGCGUGAACGAAGAAGGUAUUCGUAUCGUAAAGUUCUGUCCUAUGGGAAGAUAAUGACAGUACCAUAGAAGAAAGCUCCGGCUAAAUACGUGCCAGCAGCCGCGGUAAUACGUAUGGAGCGAGCGUUGUCCGGAAUUAUUGGGCGUAAAGGGUACGCAGGCGGUUUAAUAAGUCGAAUGUUAAAGAUCGGGGCUCAACCCCGUAAAGCAUUGGAAACUGAUAAACUUGAGUAGUGGAGAGGAAAGUGGAAUUCCUAGUGUAGUGGUGAAAUACGUAGAUAUUAGGAGGAAUACCAGUAGCGAAGGCGACUUUCUGGACACAAACUGACGCUGAGGUACGGAAGCGUGGGGAGCAAACAGG
rnacentral:rRNA from 1 species